GACGAACGCUGGCGGCGUGCCUAAUACAUGCAAGUAGAACGCUGAAGGAGGAGCUUGCUUCUCUGGAUGAGUUGCGAACGGGUGAGUAACGCGUAGGUAACCUGCCUGGUAGCGGGGGAUAACUAUUGGAAACGAUAUCUAAUACCGCAUAAGAGUAGAUGUUGCAUGACAUUUGCUUAAAAGGUGCAAUUGCAUCACUACCAGAUGGACCUGCGUUGUAUUAGCUAGUUGGUGGGGUAACGGCUCACCAAGGCGACGAUACAUAGCCGACCUGAGAGGGUGAUCGGCCACACUGGGACUGAGACACGGCCCAGACUCCUACGGGAGGCAGCAGUAGGGAAUCUUCGGCAAUGGACGGAAGUCUGACCGAGCAACGCCGCGUGAGUGAAGAAGGUUUUCGGAUCGUAAAGCUCUGUUGUAAGAGAAGAACGAGUGUGAGAGUGGAAAGUUCACACUGUGACGGUAUCUUACCAGAAAGGGACGGCUAACUACGUG
rnacentral:rRNA from 1 species